rnacentral:rRNA from 1 species
UACGAAGGGGGCAAGCGUUACUCGGAAUUAUUGGGCGUAAAGCGUGCGCAGGCGGCUUAGCAAGUUGGAAGUGAAAGCCUAGGGCUUAACCUUAGAAUUGCUUUCAAAACUGCUCUGCUAGAGUACUAGAGAGGAUAGCGGAAUUCCUAGUGUAGAGGUGAAAUUCGUAGAUAUUAGGAGGAACACCGGAGGCGAAAGCGGCUAUCUGGCUGGAUACUGACGCUGUUGCACGAAAGCGUGGGGAGCAAACAGG